rnacentral:lncRNA from 1 species
CAUCCCAACUCCUAUGAGAUUUAUUUAAUUUCCUGGUCAUUAUACACCACUUUAUGUAUCCAAAUCAAGCUUCUUACAAAUUGAUUCAUCCUGGUUUGAUUGUAACGACGAAGAAGCUGUCCUAUUCCCAAACUGGAAAACUGGAAUCACCUGAUUUGAAAGUGGGAUAACUUAUUCAUCCCAACUCCUAUGAGAUUUAUUCAACUUGCUGGUGAUUCUCCACCACUUUAUGUAUCCAAAUCAAGCUUCCUACAAAGUGACUCAUCCUGCUUUGAUUGGAACGACGAAGAAGAUGUCCUAUUCCCAAACUGGAAAACUCUUCUUUCAAAGUGAUUCAUCCUGCUUUGAUUGGAAUGACAAAGAAGCUAUCCUAUUCCCAAACUGGGAAACUGGAAUCACCUGAUUUGAAAGUGAGAUAACUUCUUCAUCCCAACUCCUAUGAGAUUUAUUCAACUUCCUGGUCAUUCUCCACCAUUUUAUGUAUCCAAAUCAAGCUUCUUCCAAAGUGAUUCAUCCCGCUUUGAUUGGAACAACGAAGAAGUUGUCCUAUUCCCAAACUGGGAAACUGGAAUCAUCUGAUUUGAAAGUGGAAUAACUUCUUCAUCCCAAAUCCUAUGAGAUUUAUUCAACUUCUUGGUCAUUCUCCACCACUUUAUGUCUCCAAAUCAAGCUUCUUACAUAGUGAUUCAUCCUGCUUUGAUUGGAACGACGAAGAAGCUAUCCUAUUCCAAAACUGGGAAACUAAAAUCACCUGAUUUGAAAGUGGGAUAGCUUCUUCAUCCCAACUCCUAUGAGAUUUAUUCAACUUCCUGGUCAUUCUCCACCACUUAAUGUAUCCAAAUCAAGCUUCUUACAAAGUGAUUCAUCCUGGUUUGAUUGGAAAGACGAAGAAGCUGUCCUAUUCCCAAACUGGGAAACUGGAAUCACCUGAUUUGAAAGUGGGAUAACUUCUUCAUCCCAACUCCUAUGAGAUUUAUUCAACUUGCUGGUGAUUCUCCAACACUUAUAUAUCCAAAUCAA